UACGUAGGGUGCGAGCGUUGUCCGGAAUUAUUGGGCGUAAAGGGCUCGUAGGCGGUUUGUCGCGUCGGGAGUGAAAACCUUGGGCUUAACUCAGGGCUUGCUUUCGAUACGGGCAGACUAGAGGUAUGCAGGGGGAGAACGGAAUUCCUGGUGUAGCGGUGAAAUGCGCAGAUAUCAGGAGGAACACCGGUGGCGAAGGCGGGUCUCUGGGCAGUAACUGACGCUGAGGAGCGAAAGCGUGGGGAGCAAACAGG
rnacentral:rRNA from 1 species